rnacentral:lncRNA from 1 species
CAUUGUAGCUUUGCCUGGAACAGCAUAUAAUCUGCUGGCAUUUUGAAUCUGCAGGAGAAAACCAGAAUGUUUCCACCGUCAAAGGUCUCUUGGAGUUGUUGAAAGAAGGCUGGAACAGUCCUGGUUUUUGGACUUGCUUUUCUUAAGGUAAUUUUACAAAAAUGCCUGUAGAAUGCUCAGAAGCUCACCAGCUUUAUGAAGAAGACCUUCAGACUUUCCAGAACUCAAAAGUUCCUCUCAGUGCCAAUUACAAGAUUGGAAAGAGGUUUCCAUUUAGUUGAUUUUGGAAAGCGUGAAGUGUUUGAGAGGAUUAGAGACAGCAGAAGAAGAGGAAUUCAGACUAUGUAUUGAGUAAGGGAUGUUGACUGUGGAGGGAGAUUUUGGAGCUUGUUGUGUUUAUAGACAAUUACAUGGCAGAGUUCAUUUGAAUGCUCUGGGGUUCAUAAACUUGUGUAGCCUGGAAGGCAGGGCCCAUUGGAAGGAUUCAGAAUUUCAGUGCAAAUGAUUUACCCAGCUGUUAAGAUAACACUUAAAGAGUUAGUGGUAAGAUAAUUUUUUUUUUUUUAAAGGUCUAAUUUAAAUUGACAAACACAUUGGAAACUGCAGAUGGGCUCAAGCUGAAAAGUAGAGUGUGUGAAGUCUUUCCAAGUUCAGGCAGGUUGGGAUCCAGACCUUUUCCUACUGCUCUGGUUUUCGGCUGCUUUUAAAUUCCUCUUUGGUUCUUUUUGACUUCUUGUGUAAAUCUAAGACGGUGGGAACAUCUGGUUACAA